GAUGAACGCUGGCGGCGUGCCUAAUACAUGCCAGUCGAGCGAACGGACGAGAAGCUUGCUUCUCUGAUGUUAGCGGCGGACGGGUGAGUAACACGUGGAUAACCUACCUAUAAGACUGGGAUAACUUCGGGAAACCGGAGCUAAUACCGGAUAAUAUUUUGAACCGCAUGGUUCAAAAGUGAAAGACGGUCUUGCUGUCACUUAUAGAUGGAUCCGCGCUGCAUUAGCUAGUUGGUAAGGUAACGGCUUACCAAGGCAACGAUGCAUAGCCGACCUGAGAGGGUGAUCCGCCACACUGGAACUGAGACACGGUCCAGACUCCUACGGGAGGCAGCAGUAGGGAAUCUUCCGCAAUGGGCGAAAGCCUGACGGAGCAACGCCGCGUGAGUGAUGAAGGUCUUCGGAUCGUAAAACUCUGUUAUUAGGGAAGAACAUAUGUGUAAGUAACUGUGCACAUCUUGACGGUACCUAAUCAGAAAGCCACGGCUAACUACGUG
rnacentral:rRNA from 1 species